AGCUUCAGUAGCGUAUAUUAAAGUUGUUGCAUUUAAAAAGCUCGUAGUUGAUGUUUCGCUUAAUAGGCUUACUCUGCCUAGCGGAAAGGCCUAAAAAGCUGAUAUUUGGUGGAGACACCAUGUACACCGUGAAUAAAUUAGAGUGAUCCAAACAGGUUGUGCCCGAAUGCUUCAGCAUGGUAUGGGUUCUUGACGACGCCGGUUUCUAACACUUUUGUGUUUGAGACUUGAGCGGAGUAAAGGUUAAUAGAGAUGGAUGAUGGAAUUCGUAUUGAGUUGCUAGAGGUGAAAUUCUUGGACCAACUCAAGACGACCUGAAGCGAAAGCUUUUUCCACAGAUGCUCUUA
rnacentral:rRNA from 1 species